UCUGGUUGAUCCUGGCGGAGGUUACUGCUAUCGAGGUUCGACUAAGCCAUGCGAGUCGAAUGUAGCAAUACAUGGCGUACUGCUCAGUAACACGUGGACAACCUACCCUUAGGUCGGGGAUAAACCCGGGAAACUGGGUAUAAUACCCGAUAGUCCUCGGAUGCUGGAAUGCACCGAGGUCUAAAGCUCCGGCGCCUAAGGAUGGGUCUGCGGCCUAUCAGGUAGUAGUGGGUGUAGCGUACCUACUAGCCUACGACGGGUACGGGUUGUGAGAGCAAGAGCCCGGAGAUGGAUUCUGAGACACGAAUCCAGGCCCUACGGGGUGCAGCAGGCGCGAAAACUUUACAAUGCUGGAAACAGCGAUAAGGGGACCUCGAGUGCCAGGUUACAAAUCUGGCUGUCGUGAUGCCUAAAAAGCAUUGCAUAGCAAGGGCCGGGCAAGACCGGUGCCAGCCGCCGCGGUAACACCGGCGGCUCGAGUGGUAACCGCUAUUAUUGGGUCUAAAGGGUCUGUAGCCGGCCGGAUAAGUCUUUUGGGAAAUCUGGCAGCUUAACUGUCAGGCUUUCAGAGGAUACUGUCUGGCUCGAGGCCGGGAGAGGUGAGAGGUACUUCAGGGGUAGGGGGAAAUCUUGUAUCUGAAGGACCACC
rnacentral:rRNA from 1 species